GCGGCAUUAGCUCAGUUGGUAGAGCAUUGGAUUGUGAUUCCAAGGGUCGCCGGUUCGAGACCGGCAUGUCGCCCCA
rnacentral:tRNA from 1 species